UAAAACUUUGUCUGUUACUCCUUCCAGGAAGUCAGCUCUCUCUAAGUCAAACCUUCCCUGUGGUACAGCCCUCAUAUGUUAGGGGCUCGAUGGUUUUAGACCAAGAAAGCUGGUUGCUCCAAUCUAAGGUUAGCAGAGGCCAAAUACUUUGGAAUACUUUGGAAUCAUGAGGAAGGACAGUAUUUCAGUGACAGAACCCAACACGUGUGUGUUUGGCAAGGCUGGCGGAGGUUAAGAAGGAGCUGAGUAUUAAGUUAAGGUGGCUGAACAGCAAUGGAAAGAUGAUCCCUGGCCUUUUGUGAUCUCGGGAGAAACUGGGAAUUGAGAACCUUGUGCGGUCUUAGAAAUCACCUCCAGCUUCCCUCACAGGCUGCUGUUUCUUAGGAGAAUCCCAGGGAAAGGCAGCAGUGAAAUAGUGGAUCCUCAAUCCGCAGAAGCUGACGUCAGGCUCAGAGCAAGUUGUAAGAGUUACCCACUGAAAGCCAGUCCCCCAAAUCUUCCAAAGAAGCAGAUGGAGCACAGUUGAGUGAAGAUACCAUAAAAUGGCCAAGAACUUUAAUGAAGACCAACUGCUUGUGCAUGUUUCACCCUGGCUUUGAUUUAGAGAAACCCUGGAGGAUGGAGUCAUCACUGAAAAAGGAACAGCAGCUCUCAGUUUCAAAGACCUCAAGACCCACUGAAGAGGACAGUGAGGCCUAGGACCUAUACCACUUUAUUUUGGACUGAGACAAGUUGGAGAGCCCUCACCGAACCCUCUUCUUGACAUUUAAAAUCUUGUAUUACAAUGUAUGAGUUAAAAAAAAAAACACCUGAGCAUUAUCUGCGUUAAUUUGGAAGGAGCAACUUCCAGUUCUGAAGUGUUUACUUGUUUAUUCUGCCUUGUCUAUUUUCCCCCCUCUCUUCACCCAAGAAAUCCUGAAUCGGAAAUUAAAGUGAAAAUGUGGUUUUGUCCUGGAAACAGCUUUACAAAGGCAACAGUUUUAUCCCCCCACCCCAAUUUUCAAAGUUAUGGUCCUUGAAUGUCUUUUGUCAGGGUCCCAAGAUGUCUGACUGCAAGGUUCUUAUUAUCUCCUGGCUUAGGGACAUUUGAAUGAAUAAAGAUGAUCUCAGAAAGUGUUUUCAGGGUUGUAGGUGUCGCUGACUUCAUAGCAUAAAGUCAUCCCUGCCUAGCUCCCAGUCUAAAAUUUGCCCUUAUCACCACUAGCAACUCUAUGGCAUAGCUACAGAGGCUCAAACUGUACAGACAAAAACAAAAACAGACACAUGGGGAAAGAUCUCUUGGUAACUUAAUUUCCUGGACUUAUACUGGUCUGACACAGAGAUCUCAUUUGACUCUCUUGAUCUCCCUCCCAUUAAUAUUUUCAAUUCUGCAGUCACAUUAUGAGACACCUUAGAACCAUGGUCUGUCUCUGCUUUUAGAAGGCAGUUCUGCACCAUCUCCACAUGGAAGAGAGGCUGGUGCCCUUGUCCAUACUCUUGGCAAUAGCUAUUGCCUUCUUGAUCCACAGAGCAAUUACUUUGCCUGUCUAAGUGUGGCAAUACUCAGUCAUUGAUAUAAUGCACCAUGACCAGCCCUGGUAAUGAUUUGGGUGGUGCUGUGCCUAGGGAUGAUUAGCUGAAAACACAUACAUUUUUAGACUUUAGUUUGCUUCCAGGAAAUAUCUGAGUCACAUUUAGUCUGAGUGUUCGAACUGAGUGUGGUUAUCAGCUGGAGUUUUAAAUCUACUCAAACAUGAAUGGUAUUUCAGGUUUCUGUACAAUAUAUGAUAUGUUCUGCAUGGUGUGUUAGAAUGUGGCAUAAAUUGCUCUUUGUGAAAUGUGAUUUCUGUCCAGUCUUGAAGUUAGAAUGGUGGCGGAGUAAUUAUACAUAUAAAAAUUGACUUCUGGUCUAUAGAAUGUAAAGUACUGAGUCAGUAUGGAGAUGUUUGAAAUGACAAUUCCUAAGACAAAGCUGAAGGGCUCUAUCUGUAAGCAAUAAUGCUGCUCAGUCCCUAGCCAAGAUCCUGCUCAUUUAAAAGGGUCCUUUCUGAAGAAGUAAAGAAUAAGGAGUGGUAGGAUUUAUGGAAAUUGUGGUUGUGCUGACUUGCGUUAUGUAAAUGUGCCUGUUUUACAAUAAAACACAUUUGUU